rnacentral:misc_RNA from 1 species
UUCUGCUUCUUCAAAUGCAAAGGUGAUGGGUUUUAAUUUUUUUAUAGUGAAUACGUAUGUGGUCAAGACUUCUUUCCAGCUUUCCAUUGAUAGCACUGGCCUUUGUGAAAAAGAAGUUGUGUUACCCUUCUUGCCAAAAAAUGAGUAAAUAUUUAGACAUAAUCUGUUCUGAUUUCAAAUAAGACAUUCAUAUAUGGGUUUUUUCUAAUAUUUUUAUUGUGUAUAGAUUUUUUUUUUCAGAAAAGAGAUAUUUGGUAAAUGGGGGUAGUCAAAAUAGGGAAAUGAGUAUAGUUUUGCACUGUGUUAACUUGUUUUACCUAAAUUCAUAAUGUUUUUGAUUGAGAUUCUUAACCAGCUCAAAAUAGGAACUUAAUCACACCCCAACCUCAAAUAUGAAAGAUUGCCAAUUUGCCACUGUUAGGGGGGGAGGAAUUGCUGCAAUUAAAAGGAUUUUGUUGCUUGUGGGACUAAAUGUAAUUACUUGAAGAAUUUAGCAAAUAUUUUAGUCUUUUGUGCUUUAAAUUUAUUGUUUGAGUGAUAUAGUUCCUGUUCUUGUACCUGUUGAAAAGUUUAUAUCCAGUAACUGAAGCAUGGCUAGUGUUAUGAGUCCUAUCACUUAUAAGCAACCACUAUAGGCAUAAUUCAGCCUGUUAAUUUUACCUACAUUAGUUCAUUGCUACUUAUGUAAUCAGGAAUUCCCCUUAUUUCAGCCUUGUGGUCUUUACUUUAUAUGUUUACUUUCUUCAAAUGUUCUUCUAGAACAUAUUAUCUUGGCUAUUACACAGUUGCACAGCCUUGCUGGGGGUUGUUAGGUUUAGAGAUGGUUGAGCACUGCUCCUCCCUUGUUUAGUCAAAGCACUAUUGGCCAUCCCUCCCUAGGAACCAACUCAGCGUCACUCCCAAUCUGGAAACAAGCAUGAGGUCUUGGGUGUUGCAAGUCUGAAAAUAUAAAAGGAGAAUCCACACCAUAUAUUACGCAAGAAAUACAAUGUUGAAUCUCCUAUUAAAUGUUAUGAUUAGUUAGAGGUGGGUGGGAAUGAGUGGAGAUUGUAGUCGCCAUUAAGUAGUCUCCAACUGCAUGAGGGAGUCUGAUAAUUUAAAGUGUAUAGUGUAUACUGUUUCAAAUUAUCACUUUGUGUUGUUAGCAGCUUCAUUAAACCCUUUAUUUUUUUCUCCCCAUAAUUUAUAUUGCAGGGUUCCAAGAAGAAUAAGAAG